rnacentral:misc_RNA from 1 species
AUCAGUUGCCACAAGAAUUCUCUUGUGCCCUUCCUUGAAACCCUUGUAGCGUGUCAGUCUUUCUUCUUGACUCAUGCCGGAGUGGAUGCAGAUAGAUGGGAAAUUACACUCCAUAAGUAACUUGUUCAACUCUGCUGCUCUGCUCACACUCUUGACAAAAAUUACGACUUGGUUGAAGUCCAACGCAUCCAAUAGGUCAUUCAGCUUCCGGUUUUUCUCCGUCUCACUCAAUUUGAUGUAGUGCUGAACAAGUCCAUGCAGGGUCAACUUGGCCUCAUCAUCAACAUAAAUUUCCAUUGGCUGAAAGGAAUAAAGGUUAUAGUAAAGGAUAUUAGGAGCUUCGUGAGCUAACGGAAUCUGAUAACGAAAUGAACGAUGGAUGAAGAUCCUCCAUCUGUGAAUUUUCUCCUUGCAGCUUAGAGUAAAAGCACCCAACUAUUCCCCAUUCUUGCUCAAUGUGUUUAUACAGCGCUUAUCAAAAAGCUUCCGUUAGAACUCCAAGCAUCAAACCCCAAGUUAUCCCAUUUCAACUAAAGACCUUUCCCACCCCUCUCGAUAUCUUUAACUAUAGGACAAGAACAUGGAAUACAAAGAUUGACACACAAACUCAAGAUAACAAAGAACUACAAGCUUAGUGGAAAACUAGCACUUCAGCACAGCAACCAGCUCCUGAGACACCUCAUCUCUGUUUCUCUUCCCCCGUAAAAUUAAAUUGAGACAAAGAUUA